GCGAGUGGCGAACGGGUGAGUAAUAUAUCGGAACGUGCCCAGUCGUGGGGGAUAACGUAGAGAAAUUUACGCUAAUACCGCAUACGAUCUAAGGAUGAAAGCGGGGGACCGUAAGGCCUCGCGCGAUUGGAGCGGCUGAUAUCAGAUUAGGUUGUUGGUGAGGUAAAAGCUCACCAAGCCGACGAUCUGUAGCUGGUUUGAGAGAACGACCAGCCACACUGGGACUGAGACACGGCCCAGACUCCUACGGGAGGCAGCAGUGGGGAAUUUUGGACAAUGGGCGAAAGCCUGAUCCAGCAAUGCCGCGUGAGUGAAGAAGGCCUUCGGGUUGUAAAGCUCUUUUGUCAGGGAAGAAACGGUGUGGGCUAAUAUCCUGCACUAAUGACGGUACCUGAAGAAUAAGCACCGGCUAACUACGUGCCAGCAGCCGCGGUAAUACGUAGGGUGCAAGCGUUAAUCGGAAUUACUGGGCGUAAAGCGUGCGCAG
rnacentral:rRNA from 1 species